CGCCUCUUGCUCUUACAUGUAUAAGAGGUCCCGCCUGCCCUGUGAUUUUUUUAACGGCCGCGGUAUCUUGACCGUGCGAAGGUAGCGUAAUCACUUGUCUUUUAAUUGAAGGCCCGUAUGAAAGGCAUCACGAGAGUUUAUCUGUCUUUAUUUUCCAAUCAAUGAAAUUGAUCUUCUCGUGCAGAAGCGAGAAUAAGCACAUAAGACGAGAAGACCCUAUGGAGCUUUAAACACUUAAGUUAUUUUUAAACAUCAAAAAUUUCCCACCUUCGGGCAUAAAAUAACAUAAAAUAAAUCUUCUAACUUAACUUGUUUUUGGUUGGGGCGACCGAGGGGUAAAACAAAACCCCCUUAUCGAAUGGGUGAGAAAUCACUCAAAAUUAGAACGACAGUUCUAAUUAAUAGAAAAUCUAACGAACAAUGACCCAGGAAACUAUAUCCUGAUCAAUGAACCAAGUUACCCUAGGGAUAACAGCGCAAUCCUUUCUUAGAGCCCCCAUCGCCGAAAGGGUUUACGACCUCGAUGUUGGAUCAGGACAUCCUAAUGGUGUAGCCGCUAUUAAGGGUUCGUUUGUUCAACGAUUAAUAGUCCU
rnacentral:rRNA from 1 species